GAUACUAGAGUGUAGUGUACAGGCAGGUUAUUACUGUUGUGGAUUCUAGAGUGUAGUGUACAGGCAGGUUAUUACUGUUGUGGAUUCUGGAGUGUAGUGUACAGGCAGGUUAUUACUGUUGUGGAUUCUAGAGUGUAGUGUACAGGCAGGUUAUUACUGUUGUGGAUUCUGGAGUGUAGUGUACAGGCAGGUUAUUACUGUUGUGGAUUCUAGAGUGUAGUGUACAGGCAGGUUAUUACUGUUGUGGAUUCUGGAGUGUAGUGUACAGGCAGGUUAUUACUGUUGUGGAUUCUAGAGUGUAGUGUACAGGCAGGUUAUUACUGUUGUGGAUUCUGGAGUGUAGUGUACAGGCAGGUUAU